rnacentral:rRNA from 1 species
AGUCAACCUAACCUAUGGACGGGAAUAACCUCGGGAAACUGAGAAUAAUGCCCGAUGGAACAUUAUGCCUGGAAUGGUUUAUGUUCCAAAUGAUUUAUCGCCGUAGGAUGGGACUGCGGCCUAUCAGUUUGUUGGUGAGGUAAUGGCCCACCAAGACUAUUACAGGUACGGGCUCUGAGAGGAGUAGCCCGGAGAUGGGUACUGAGACACGGACCCAGGCCCUAUGGGGCGCAGCAGGCGAGAAAACUUUGCAAUGUGCGAAAGCACGACAAGGUUAAUCCGAGUGGUUUCUGCUAAAGAAACCUUUUGUCAGUCCUAGAAACACUGAUGAAUAAGGGGUGGGCAAGUUCUGGUGUCAGCCGCCGCGGUAAAACCAGCACCUCAAGUGGUCAGGAUGAUUAUUGGGCCUAAAGCAUCCGUAGCCGGCUCUGUAAGUUUUCGGUUAAAUCUGUACGCUCAACGUACAGGCUGCCGGGAAUACUGCAGAGCUAGGGAGUGGGAGAGGUAGACGGUACUCGGUAGGAAGGGGUAAAAUCCUUUGAUCUAUUGAUGACCACCUGUGGCGAAGGCGGUCUACCAGAACACGUCCGACGGCGAGGGAUGAAAGCUGGGGGAGCAAACCGGAUUAGAUACCCGGGUAGUCCCAGCUGUAAACUAUGCAAACUCAGUGAUGCAUUGGCUUGUGGCCAAUGCAGUGCUGCAGGGAAGCCGUUAAGUUUGCCGCCUGGGAAGUACGUACGCAAGUAUGAAACUUA